rnacentral:rRNA from 1 species
GACGAACGCUGGCGGCGUGCUUAACACAUGCAAGUCGAACGGUAAGGCCCUUCGGGGUACACGAGUGGCGAACGGGUGAGUAACACGUGGGUGAUCUGCCCUGCACUUCGGGAUAAGCCUGGGAAACUGGGUCUAAUACCGGAUAGGACCACUGCCUGCAUGGGUGGUGGUGGAAAGCUUUUGCGGUGUGGGAUGGGCCCGCGACCUAUCAGCUUGUUGGUGGGGUGAUGGCCUACCAGGGCGACGACGGGUAGCCGGCCUGAGAGGGUGACCGGGCACACUGGGACUGAGACACGGCCCAGACUCCUACGGGAGGCAGCAGUGGGGAAUAUUGCACAAGGGGCGCAAGCCUGACGCAGCAACGCCGCGUGCGGGAUGACGGCCUUCGGGUUGUAAACCGCUUUCAGCAGGGAAGAAGCCGCAAGGUGACGGUACCUGCAGAAGAAGCACCGGCUAACUACGUGCCAGCCGCCGCAGUAA